GUGGAUGUAGCUCAAUUUGUAGAGCACUAUUGAACGCUUGAUAGAGGCUUGGGGUUCGAUUCCCCACAUCUCCA